rnacentral:rRNA from 1 species
AGUGAACGCUGGCGGUAGGCCUAACACAUGCAAGUCGAACGGCAGCACAGUAAGAGCUUGCUCUUACGGGUGGCGAGUGGCGGACGGGUGAGGAAUACAUCGGAAUCUACUUUUUCGUGGGGGAUAACGUAGGGAAACUUACGCUAAUACCGCAUACGACCUACGGGUGAAAGCAGGGGAUCUUCGGACCUUGCGCGAUUGAAUGAGCCGAUGUCGGAUUAGCUAGUUGGCGGGGUAAAGGCCCACCAAGGCGACGAUCCGUAGCUGGUCUGAGAGGAUGAUCAGCCACACUGGAACUGAGACACGGUCCAGACUCCUACGGGAGGCAGAAGGGGGGAAUAUUGGACAAUGGGCGCAAGCCUGAUCCAGCCAGACCGCGUGGGUGAAGAAGGCCUUCGGGUUGUAAAGCCCUUUUGUUGGGAAAGAAAAGCAGCAGGUUAAUACCCCGCUGUUCGGACGGUACCCAAAGAAUAAGCACCGGCGAACUGCGU